GGAAGAGAAGCGCUCCCGGUGGGGCGGCUGGCCUUCAAAGCCAGAGAGGGCCGCCAGACGGCUCUUAGUGGGUUCGACUCCCACUCUCUUCCGCCA
rnacentral:tRNA from 1 species